CUUACGGUGCUGUGUAAGUGCGUAUCACUAACUCAGUGGGAGAGAGAAGAGAGGACAGGCCAGCUGUCCUAAACAGUAAAAUAUUCAACUCUUAACAGGAAGAAAGAAGAGCUAGCAUUGUUUAAUAAACUAACAAGCGCGUGUUUUCAGAUAGUGAAAUUAAUUAAGAAUUAAAACAGACGUCGUAUAACGGGAAGUUAAACAAAUGAAGAAACUCCAGUGGAAAUGUCUGGGUAUGGAUAAUAAACAUUCAGCUCACGGGGGAAAGGAAGACAGCCUGCAAACAGAAUGCCACAGACGUAAGACCAGCACGCCUUAAAUGCAUUGGACCUGAACCUGGGGCAGGCAAAACCGAGGAAAUCAGAGCUGACUGGGGCACUGACGGAGAAUGCUUUGAGGUUUCCCUUACAGUGUUAGAUACACUGCAUGAAAGGGAGAUGGACCUCACAACAUCUUUGUUUAUCUCAAUGCAUCAAAUUAAAGUAACAAAAAAAAAAAAGAUUUCCCACCUGGCCUGAAAAAAAAAUUCCAAGGUUUAGAUGCACUUUUUAAUAGGAAUGAUGUAAAAUGUAAAGUAUUUAAUUUUUUUGUGUGUGUAAUUGAUGAAAGCAGGGUUAUUGCUAGUUGUCUUCCUUGACCAGUUUUUAUAGGGUCCAUUUUAAUAUCCCAUUGUGGAGAAGUGGUUGUGCUAGACCUUUGAAAUGUUUUAGGGUAAAUGUAUGGACUCUCAGGGGUGUAGCUCAAGUUAACACAGAAUGAUGGAUUGAAAGAUGUAGAGUCUCUGGCAGCAGAUUUGGAGGCCUGUAAAAACCACAGCUUUGUAGGUAUGGGACUGAUUUUUUUUUUUUUUUAGCAUAUUCUCAUAUACAUAGCACAUUAUUUAUAACAGUCCAAAUCAGGUGACUGGUUUGACAGAUAUUACAGUUUGAAUGUGGUAGGAAAAACACACAUUUUCAUCUAACUUUAGAAUAAUAUUCCCAAAUUACAAAGCCAAGUUCCAAAUCAGAAUUUCUUUUUAUUUGUAGAAAGGGUGAAGUUAAUACUACGGCCAAUAUGCUGCUGCUGCUGAUGAUGGUGAUGAACUCUCUCCAAGACGGAACAUUUCCAUGUAACACUUUUUAAAGCAACUUAUAAGAUAUUUCCGGAAACACGUUUGAGAUGGUGAGAGUUAGAGCAGUUGAGUUCCACAUGCAAUCAGAAAAGUAAAGAUUCUUGGAAUUCAAAAAAACCCCCAAACACCCCAAACAAAACACGCCAGUGGCGCAAUUGCUGGACAACACACUCAUAACUGGCUCUGUUUUAGUUUUUCGCUAACUGCUUUAACACAGCCAAGGUCUUUGGACUGCUGAGCACAACAUACCAGCACUAUUACUUUUUCCUGACUCAGAACAUGUAGUGAGCUUUAGCUUGUGGCAAAGAUAAUCAGCAUACAUUGUUUGUGCAUUGUUCUGCUUUUGAAAUGGUUCUAAUUUCUUUUAGCUUUUAAGAAUUGUUUCAAAGGUUGCCUGUGAUGAACAGCCAGGCAGUUGAGAUUCUUUCGGGACAGUCAUCAUAUUUGUGUGAGCAGAAUGGGUUUGAAGCUCUCCACAUUUCUGCUAUUCUUAAUUGACCGGAUCUAAUGACAUUAUUUAUGUUUU